rnacentral:rRNA from 1 species
UACGUAGGGUGCGAGCGUUGUCCGGAAUUAUUGGGCGUAAAGAGCUCGUAGGUGGCCUGUUGCGUCCGCUGUGAAAACUCAGGGCUUAACCCUGAGCCGGCAGUGGAUACGGGCAGGCUAGAGGUAGGUAGGGGAGAAUGGAAUUCCUGGUGUAGCGGUGAAAUGCGCAGAUAUCAGGAGGAACACCGGUGGCGAAGGCGGUUCUCUGGGCCUUACCUGACGCUGAGGAGCGAAAGCGUGGGGAGCGAACAGG